rnacentral:rRNA from 1 species
UACGGAGGAUGCAAGCGUUAUCCGGAAUGAUUGGGCGUAAAGCGUCCGCAGGUGGCUAUGUAAGUCUGCUGUUAAAGAGUGAGGCUCAACCUCAUAAGAGCAGUGGUAACUACAUGGCUAGAGUGCGUUCGGGGCAGAGGGAAUUCCUGGUGUAGCGGUGAAAUGCGUAGAGAUCAGGAAGAACACCGGUGGCGAAAGCGCUCUGCUAGGCCGCAACUGACACUGAGGGACGAAAGCUAGGGGAGCGAAUGGG